rnacentral:tRNA from 2 species
CAAAGCAGAGCUAAAUUUAGUAUAGCGUUUCAGUUACGUUGAAAAGGUUUAUUGUGCAAAUCAAUAUGCUUUGA